rnacentral:rRNA from 3 species
AAGACGAGGAUAACAGUUGGAAACGACUGCUAAGACUGGAUAGGAGACAAGAAGGCAUCUUCUUGUUUUUAAAAGACCUAGCAAUAGGUAUGCUUAGGGAGGAGCUUGCGUCACAUUAGUUAGUUGGUGGGGUAAAGGCCUACCAAGACUAUGAUGUGUAGCCGGGCUGAGAGGUUGAACGGCCACAUUGGGACUGAGACACGGCCCAAACUCCUACGGGAGGCAGCAGUAGGGAAUUUUCGGCAAUGGAGGAAACUCUGACCGAGCAACGCCGCGUGAACGAUGAAGUAUUUCGGUACGUAAAGUUCUUUUAUUAGGGAAGAAUAAAUGAUGGAAAAAUCAUUCUGACGGUACCUAAUGAAUAAGCCCCGGCUAACUAUGUGCCAGCAGCCGCGGUAAUACAUAGGGGGCAAGCGUUAUCCGGAAUUAUUGGGCGUAAAGGGUGCGUAGGCGGUUAAAUAAGUUUAUGGUCUAAGUGCAAUGCUCAACAUUGUGAUGCUAUAAAAACUGUUUAGCUAGAGUAAGAUAGAGGCAAGUGGAAUUCCAUGUGUAGUGGUAAAAUGCGUAAAUAUAUGGAGGAACACCAGUAGCGAAGGCGGCUUGCUGGGUCUUUACUGACGCUGAGGCACGAAAGCGUGGGGAGCAAACAGGAUUAGAUACCCUGGUAGUCCACGCCGUAAACGAUGAGUACUAAACGUUGGGUAAAACCAGUGUUGAAGUUAACACAUUAAGUACUCCGCCUGAGUAGUACGUACGCAAGUAUGAAACUUAAAGGAAUUGACGGGACUCCGCACAAGCGGUGGAUCAUGUUGUUUAAUUCGAAGGUACCCGAAAAACCUCACCAGGUCUUGACAUGCUUCUGCAAAGCUGUAGAAACACAGUGGAGGUUAUCAGUUGCACAGGUGGUGCAUGGUUGUCGUCAGCUCGUGUCGUGAGAUGUUGGGUUAAGUCCCGCAACGAGCGCAACCCUUAUUGUUAGUUACCAGCACGUAAUGGUGGGGACUUUAGCAAGACUGCCAGUGAUAAAUUGGAGGAAGGUGGGGACGACGUCAAAUCAUCAUGCCCCUUAUGACCUGGGCUACAAACGUGAUACAAUGGCUGUUACAAAGGGUAGCUGAAGCGCAAGUUUUUGGCGAAUCUCAAAAAAACAGUCUCAGUUCGGAUUGAAGUCUGCAACUCGACUUCAUGAAGUUGGAAUCGCUAGUAAUCGCGAAUCCAGCAUGUCGCGGUGAAUACGUUCUCGGGGUUUGUACACACCGCCCGUCAAACCACGAAAGUUGGCAAUACCCAAAGCCGGUGGCCUAACUUCGCAAGAAGAGGGAACCGUCUAAGGUAGGGUCGAUGAUUGGGGUUAAGUCGUAACAAGGUAUCC